rnacentral:tRNA from 1 species
GGUGGCGUGUCCGAGCGGCCGAAGGUGAAGCACUCGAAAUGCUUUGUGCGGUAAACCCGUACCGGGGGUUCAAAUCCCUCCGCCACCGCCA